rnacentral:rRNA from 1 species
AUUGAACGCUGGCGGAAUGCUUUACACAUGCAAGUCGAACGGUAGAGGGGGCAACCCCUCGAGAGUGGCGAACGGGUGAGUAAUAUAUCGGAACGUGCCCAGUCGUGGGGGAUAACGUAGCGAAAGUUACGCUAAUACCGCAUACGAUCUAAGGAUGAAAGCGGGGGAUCGCAAGACCUCGCGCGAUUGGAGCGGCCGAUAUCAGAUUCGGUAGUUGGAGGGGUAAAGGCUCACCAAGCCAACGAUCUGUAGCUGGUCUGAGAGGACGAACAGCCACACUGGAACUGGGACACGGUCCAGACUCCUACGGGAGGCAGCAGUGGGGAAGUUUGGACAAUGGACGCAAGUCUGAUCCAGCCAUUCCGCGUGCAGGAUGAAGGCCCUCGGGUUGUAAACUGCUUUUGUACGGAACGAAAAGGUCUCUCUUAAUACGGGGGGCUCAUGACGGUACCGUAAGAAUAAGCACCGGCUAACUACGUGCCAGCCGCCGCAGUAA